rnacentral:snoRNA from 1 species
CAGCACUUAAUACUGACAGUACUGACAGAGCUAUCCAUAUCCUAUACUUGUGUUGAAGGCUUACGAUGUGUUGUGCUAGCUGGGUUUAAGAAGUGCAAUAUUAAAACAAAAGCCAUGAGUCUUUUAGGCCCAGUAUGUAAAGAUACACUCUGAGGUACAACUCAAAGAACAACU